rnacentral:rRNA from 1 species
UACGUAGGGUGCAAGCGUUGUCCGGAAUUAUUGGGCGUAAAGAGCUCGUAGGCGGUUUGUCGCGUCGAAUGUGAAAACCCGGGGCUCAACCCCGGGCCUGCAUUCGAUACGGGCAGACUGGAGUUCGGUAGGGGAGUCUGGAAUUCCUGGUGUAGCGGUGAAAUGCGCAGAUAUCAGGAGGAACACCGGUGGCGAAGGCGGGUCUCUGGGCCGAUACUGACGCUGAGGAGCGAAAGCGUGGGGAGCGAACAGG